rnacentral:rRNA from 1 species
AUUGAACGCUGGCGGCAUGCCUUACACAUGCAAGUCGAACGGUGACAGGUCUUCGGAUGCUGACGAGUGGCGAACGGGUGAGUAAUACAUCGGAACGUGCCUAGUAGUGGGGGAUAACUACUCGAAAGAGUGGCUAAUACCGCAUGAGAUCUACGGAUGAAAGCAGGGGAUCGCAAGACCUUGUGCUACUAGAGCGGCCGAUGGCAGAUUAGGUAGUUGGUGGGAUAAAAGCUUACCAAGCCGACGAUCUGUAGCUGGUCUGAGAGGACGAUCAGCCACACUGGGACUGAGACACGGCCCAGACUCCUACGGGAGGCAGCAGUGGGGAAUUUUGGACAAUGGGCGCAAGCCUGAUCCAGCAAUGCCGCGUGCAGGAUGAAGACCUUCGGGUUGUAAACUGCUUUUGUACGGAACGAAAAGCCCUGGGUUAAUACCCUGGGGUCAUGACGGUACCGUAAGAAUAAGCACCGGCUAACUACGUGCCAGCCGCCGCAGUAACAC